rnacentral:misc_RNA from 1 species
AAGUCGUAACAAGGUUUCCGUAGGUGAACCUGCGGAAGGAUCAUUAUAGUAAUGCAUGUGGCCGGGUGGCGCGCCACUUGUUGGCACGUCGCCUGUGCGCAACACAUACACACACCCCUUGUGAACUGUCUUGUCCAUGUCUGGCCGCAGCAAUGCAGCCAGACAGCAAACAAAAAAACGUACCGAACCCACGCAGACUGAAUCGUAUAACACAAAAGUAAUACACAUACAACUUUUAACAAUGGAUCUCUUGGUUCCU